UCCACCCCGCGAGCACAGGCCCCUCACCCUCGCCGCUCCGCCGCUGCCACCACUGGUUUACACCACCCCCAGAUCGCCAUGGAUGAUGAUAUCGCUGCGCUCGUGGCCGACAACGGCUCCGGCAUGUGCAAAGCCGGCUUCGCAGGCGACGAUGUCCCCCGGGCCGUCUUCCCUUCCAUCGUGGGGCGCCGCCGGCACCAGGGCGUGAUGGUGGGCAUGGGCCAGAAGGACUCCUACAUGGGUGAUGAGGCCCAGAGCAAGCGGGGCAUCCUGACCCUCAAGUACCCCAUCGAGCACGGUAUCGUCACCAACUGGGACGACAUGGAGAAGAUCUGGCACCACACCUUCUACAACGAGCUGCACGUGGCCCCUGAGGAGCACCCCGUGCUGCUGACCGAGGCCCCCCUGAACCCCAAGGCCAACCGUGAGAAGAUGACCCAGAUCAUGUUCGAGACCUUCAACACCCCGGCCACGUACGUGGCCAUCCAGGCCGUGCUGCCCCUGUACGCCUCUGGCCGUACCACUGGCAUCGUGAUGGACUCCGGGGACGGGGUCACCCACACUGUGCCCAUCUACGAGGGGUACACACUGCCCCACGCCAUCCCGCGUCUGGACCUGGCUGGCCGGGACCUGACAGACUACCUCAUGAAGAUCCUCACGGAGCGUGGCUACAGUUUCACCACCACCGCCGAGCGGGAAAUCGUGCGUGACAUCAAGGAGAAGCUGUGUUAUGUGGCCCUGGACUUCGAGCAGGAGAUGGCCACUGCAGCCUCCUCCUCCUCCCUGGAGAAGAGCUACGAGCUGCCCGACGGCAACGAGCGGUUCCGUUGCCCGGAGGCGCUCUUCCAGCCUUCCUUCCUGGGCAUGGAAUCCUGUGGCAUCCACGAAACGACCUUCAACUCCAUCAUGAAGUGUGACGUCGACAUCCGCAAGGACCUCUACGCCAACACAGUACUGUCCGGGGGCAUGUACCCCGGCCAUGUACCCCGGCAUCGCCGACAGGAUGCAGAAGGACAUCACCGCCCUGUCGCCCAGCACAAAGAAGAUCAAGAUCAUCGCCCCCCCUGAGCGCAAGUACUCUGUGUGGACCGGAGGCUCCAUCCUGGCCUCGCUGUCCACCCUCCAGCAGAUGCGGAUCAGCAAGCAGCAGUACGACGGGUGCGGCCCCUCCAUCGUCCACUGCAAAUGCUUCUAGGCGGACUGUUACUUUAGUCGCGUUACACCCUUUCUUGACAAAACCUAACUUGCGCAGAAAACGAGUUGAGAUUGGCAUGGCUUUAUUUGGUUUUUGAAUUGUCUUUUUGUUUUUGGAUUUUUUGGGUUUUUUUUUUUUUUUUUGGCGCUUGACUCAGGAUUUAAAAAACUGGAACGGUGAAGGUGACAGCAGUUGGUUGGAGCGAGCAUCCCCAAAGUUCUACAAUGUGGCCGAGGACUUUGAUUGUACAUUGUUGUUUUU